UACAGAGGUGGCAAGCGUUGUUCGGAUUCAUUGGGCGUAAAGGGUCCGUAGGCGGCUUGGAAAGUCGGAUGUGAAAUCCUAGAGCUUAACUCUAGAACUGCAUUCGAAACUUCCAGGCUCGAGCGUAGGAGGGGUGAAGGGAAUUCCCGGUGUAAGGGUGAAAUCUGCAGAGAUCGGGAGGAACACCAGUCGCGAAGGCGCUUCACUGGCCUACCGCUGACGCUCAGGGACGAAAGCCAGGGGAGCAAACGGGAUUAGAAACCCUGGUAGU
rnacentral:rRNA from 1 species